rnacentral:tRNA from 1 species
CUUGUAGCUCAGCUGGAUAGAGUGUCUGACUACGAAUCAGAAGGUCGCGGGUUCGAGUCCCUCCAAG